GACGAACGCUGGCGGCGUGCCUAACACAUGCAAGUCGAGCGAGGGACUUCGGUCCCUAGCGGCGGACGGGUGAGUAACACGUGGGUAACCUGCCUCAUAGAGGGGGAUAGCCUCCCGAAAGGGAGAUUAAUACCGCAUAACAUGUUUUGAUUGCAUGAUCAAUAAAUUAAAGGAGAAAUCCGCUAUGAGAUGGACCCGCGGCGCAUUAGCUAGUUGGAGAGGUAACGGCUCACCAAGGCGACGAUGCGUAGCCGAACUGAGAGGGUGAUCGGCCACAUUGGAACGGGGAAGCGGUCCAGACUCCUACGGGAGGCGGCAGUGGGGAAUAUUGCACGGUGGGGGAAACCCUGAUGCAGCAACGCCACGUGAGUCAAGAAGGCCUUCGGGUUGUAAAGCUCUGUCAUUGGGGACGAUAAUGACGGUACCCAAUGAGGAAGCCACGGCUAACUACGUGCCAGCAGCCGCCGUAACAC
rnacentral:rRNA from 1 species